AUGGCUACGAAUAUCAACACCGCAACAUAUGAUGAUUUAUUAUUACUUGAGAACAUUGGAAAGUCGAGGGCAAACGCAAUUUUACAGGAAAGAAGUAAAAAGAAAAUAUUGUCAAUACAAGAUUUAAAAUUGAUUCCUGAUAUACCUGAAAAUGUGUGGGACAACCUUGUUGAUACAGGGAAAAUUAAUUUUGAACCGGAAGAAGGCUCGCUCAAAUUUAAUCAUGAAAUGCAAGAAUAUGUCAGGAGUUUACAAGAAAAUCUCCGAGAUAAAGACAAACAAUUACAAAGUUUUAAUGCUGCAAUUGAAGAACAAGGGCAAGAAUUUAAGACGCAAAUGACAGGUAUAGAGGCACAGCAUCAGAAGAACAUAGCAGAAAUACAUAUGCAAUUUGAAGAAAAGCUGGUUAAUAUGCAGAAUCAAUUCAAAGACAACAUGGAAAAAGAAAAGGUAUUUAGAGAAGAAAGGGAGCAUCACUGGAAUAAAAGAGAAAAGGCAUUUCCUAUAGCAAAUAUAUCAGAUUGUUUAGAUACAUUGAGAGGAAGUACUUUAAUGAGUUCACUGGACAUGGCGGCAGGAUAUUGGCAGCUGGAGAUAGCAGAGAAAGACAGAUACAAGACUGCAUUUAUCACCAAAUAUGGUCUAUUUGAACAUGUAAGACUGAGUUUUGGUCUAUGUAACAGUCCAGCCACUUUCAGUCGAGUCAUACAACUUGUCUUACAAGGUCUCACAUGGAUUGAGUGUCUCGCUUACUUGGACGACGUUAUCAUCUUAGGAAAUGGUUUCGAGAAGCAUUUAGAAAAUAUCAAGAAAGUAUUGAGAAGAUUCCAGCAAUAUAACUUGAAGCUUAAACCACAAAAAUGCCAUUUUUUUCAAACAGAAUUAAAAUUCCUGGGAAAGUUAGUCAGUGCAGAUGGUGUCUCUGUGAAUCCAGAAAAUAUUCAAGCUGUUUCAAGUUGGCCUAUCCCAAAGAACAAAAAAGAGGUUGAAUCAUUUAUUGGAUUUGCUAAUUACCAUAGAGACCACAUAAAACAAUUUGCAGAGAUGGCAGUUCCUUUACACACGCUUACUGGAUCGAAAGCAGAAUUUCAUUGGAAUUCAGAACAACAGACAGCAUUUGAAGACCUUAAGCUAGCAUUAAUUCAAGCAGCUACAUUGAGUUAUCCAAAUCCAGAUGAUUUAUUUAUGUUAGAUACAGAUGCUUCUAAUGUUUGUAUUGGCGCAGAAUUAACACAAAUACAAGAUGGACAGGAAAAGAUCAUUAGUUAUGCUAGCAAAGUUUUGACCCCUGCUCAGAGAAAAUACUGUACCACAAGAAAGGAAUUGUUAGCAAUAGUGACAUUUACAAGACAAUUUAGACACUAUCUUCUUGGUCGAUCAUUUAUACUAAGAACAGAUCACAGUAGUCUCACUUGGUUGCUUAAUUUUAAAAAUAUUGAGGGACAGUUGGCUCGAUGGAUCGAAGAGUUAUCUCAAUAUAACAUCAUUUUACAACAUAGACCAGGGAAAAAACAUAUAAACGCAGACGCCCUAUCAAGAAUACCUGAUGAAACAGAGAACUGCUUUAACUACAAGGCUGGUAUAGAUAUUAACUCCUUACCCUGUGGUGGAUGCAAAUUUUGUCGUCGUGCUCAAGAACAAUGGAAAACUUUUGAGGAUGAUAUAGAUUAUGUGACACCAUUGGCUGUACGUAGAGUAAAUGCGAUACCAGACUUACCUGUAUGGAUUGGACAAAUACCUAGAGAAGAAAUACAACAAUGCCAGUUACAGGAUCCAGACACGUCAUUACUGCUGACAUGGUUACAAGAAAAUUACUCGCCUUCAAGAAAUGAAUUACAAUUGUGUAGUCCAGCUGUUAAACAUUUUUGGCAAUGUCAGCCCCAACUAAGAAUACAAGAUGGUAUUUUAUACUACUGGUGGGAAGAUCCAAUAUUACCAAAAUUGUUAUUAGUGGCUCCAAAAGCACUACAUAGAGAAUUUUUAGAGAAUUGUCAUAGUCGUAAGUUUUCAGGACAUCUUGGACAGGAUAAGACUCUGGCAAGACUUAAAAAACAAGUAGUUUGGCAUCAUAUGAGAGAGGAUUGUUUGUUGUUCAUCAAGACUUGCAAGAUUUGCAGUAUGAAUAAAAAACCAAAUAUCAGACCAAAAGCUGAACUUGGGCAGUAUUUAUCAGGAGUACCUAUGGGUAGAGUUCACAUGGAUUUACUUGGACCACUUCCUGUAACCAAACAGAAAAACAAAUAUGUUCUCAUGAUUGUUGAUCAAUUCACCAAGUGGUUAGAAUGUUUUCCAAUUCCUGGUCAAACUGCAGAAAUAGUUGCCAAAGCAGCAGUUGAUGGUUUUAUCUCCAGAUUUGGGUGUCCGUUGGAAGUCCAUACCGACCAAGGCAAGAAUGUGGAUGGUAAUUUAAUGUGGAACCUUUGUGAGCUAUUAGAAAUUUCUAAGACAAGAACCACAGCCUACCACCCAGCUUCUAAUGGACAAGUAGAAAGGUAUAAUCGUACAGUUCUCCAAAUAAUUAGAUGUUUUUUAAAUAAAAAACAAUGUGAAUGGGACGUGCACCUGCAACAAUUAGUAGGAGCCAUCCGUGCCACAGAGAACAGACAAACAGGAUUUACACCAAACGUUAUGAUGCUGGGACGUGAAGUUUUCCAUCCGAUAGAUUUAAUGUUAGGAACAUCAAGAGAUACUGCUAAAGAUCCACCUGAGUAUAUUAAACAGUUAAAGGAAACAUUAUAUGAAGUUCAUGAGCUGGCAAGAGUUAAUUUACAGAGAGCCCAGAAAAGACAGAAGAAGGACUAUGAUUUAAAAACUAACCAACAAAAGUAUGAUAUUGGUGAUAUAGUACUUAAAAUAAACUCUGCUACUAAAGUGGGCCAAACCCCAAAGUUUAAACAACCCUGGAAAGGACCUUAUAUUGUCACAGAAGUAAAAUCUCCAGUACUAUAUAAGAUACAAGAUAAGAAAACAGAGUCUGUGGUUCACCAUGACCGACUUAAGAUGUGUUACUUCACAGAACUUCCUAUUUGGUUAAAAAGAUUGAGGAAUAAUAUUUUACAUGACACUGACAGCAACGUACCAAUAGAGAAUGAAGAUUCAGAAGAUUUAGAUGAUAUCUAUGAUAUUUCUGGACUAUUUACUAACCCAGAUCCGGUGUCGGAUUCUCUGACAUCGGAACCUGAUAUUAAUUUGACACAUAAUUUACAGGAUAUCACUCUGGAGUCGGAUACUCUGACCCCAGAUCAGGGACAUAGACCCGUUAUCCAGAAUAUAGACGAAUUGUUAGACCACUCUACGGACCUGGAUCAUACAUUUGUAUAUGAUGUCAAAGAAAAUAACACAGAAACAGCUACUGCUAGUAGGGGGAGACGGAGACGUCAGCUACCAGCAUAUCUUGCAGAUUACGUGCAAGAUUGGGAGUUAGAAUAG
rnacentral:sRNA from 1 species